rnacentral:rRNA from 1 species
AGUCGAGCGGAGCGAGGGUGCUUGCACCUUAGCUUAGCGGCGGACGGGUGAGUAAUGCUUAGGAAUCUGCCUAUUAGUGGGGGACAACAUUCCGAAAGGGAUGCUAAUACCGCAUACGCCCUACGGGGGAAAGCAGGGGAUCUUCGGACCUUGCGCUAAUAGAUGAGCCUAAGUCGGAUUAGCUAGUUGGUGGGGAAAAGGCCUACCAAGGCGACGAUCUGUAGCGGGUCUGAGAGGAUGAUCCGCCACACUGGGACUGAGACACGGCCCAGACUCCUACGGGAGGCAGCAGUGGGGAAUAUUGGACAAUGGGCGGAAGCCUGAUCCAGCCAUGCCGCGUGUGUGAAGAAGGCCUUUUGGUUGUAAAGCACUUUAAGCGAGGAGGAGGCUACUAGUACUAAUACUACUGGAUAGUGGACGUUACUCGCAGAAUAAGCACCGGCUAACUCUGUGCCAGCAGCCGCGGUAAUACAGAGGGUGCGAGCGUUAAUCGGAUUUACUGGGCGUAAAGCGUGCGUAGGCGGCUUUUUAAGUCGGAUGUGAAAUCCCCGAGCUUAACUUGGGAAUUGCAUUCGAUACUGGGAAGCUAGAGUAUGGGAGAGGAUGGUAGAAUUCCAGGUGUAGCGGUGAAAUGCGUAGAGAUCUGGAGGAAUACCGAUGGCGAAGGCAGCCAUCUGGCCUAAUACUGACGCUGAGGUACGAAAGCAUGGGGAGCAAACAGGAUUAGAUACCCUGGUAGUCCAUGCCGUAAACGAUGUCUACUAGCCGUUGGGGCCCUUUGAGGCUUUAGUGGCGCAGCUAACGCGAUAAGUAGACCGCCUGGGGGAGUACGGUCGCAGACUAAAACUCAAAUG